rnacentral:lncRNA from 1 species
UUUUUUUUUUUUUUUUGCCAGAAUUUGAGAGUGAUUCACAUUACUGUCAAUUACAUGCCCUUAUUAUGUAUUACAACCACCAGGCAGCUGUCCAGGAAAACACAAGUCUGAAAAUGCUUCUGUUUUAAGAAAGUUAAAUUCACAGUUGCUCCCCAUGUGGACGAGUGUGGCAGAAGCUUCCACUUUCUUGCCAAGGAACAGAGUAAAGCCUUGCCUCCUUCACCUGGAUUCAGGAGCCACUCAGAGAUCCUGAGCUGUUGAUAUGAAUGCCCAGAUGCAGGUCUGGGUUUUGGUUUCUAAAUAGUCUUUUUUUUUUUUUCAUUUCGGCUUGUGUUACAAAACACGGACUCGUGUUAUAAAACAGUAUUUCUAGUUAUGAGUCACAGCAGUGCCUGUGUGUUACCAAAGAGGCCUGAAUAGAGAAACUGUUCACCUUUCUCUUUCCCCAAAGUCAGAGUCUUUGACAGUUUAGGGCUUUGAGCUCUGUUUACCAGGCUGGUCUCUUUGUCGCCAGAUUCCUUCAGAUGUCUCUUUCUUGACGUCUAGAUGACGCUACAGCUAAAAAUGCUCCAUUUGCUAUCAGGCUGACAUACAAUUAAGGAAAUUCAGCUUUUUGUUUUUUUUUCUUUUUCUUUCUUUUUUUUUUUUUUCUUUUUUUUUCUUUUUAAGGCCGCAUUCAUGGCAUGUGGAGGUUCCCAGGCUAGGGGUCUAAUCAUAGCUACAGCCACCAGCCUACACCACAGACAUAGAAACACCAGAUCCGAGUCGCAUCUUCGAACUGUACCACAGCUCGUGGCAAUGCAGGAUCCUUAACCCAUUGAGCAAGGCCAGGGAUUGAACCCACAACCUUAUGGUUCCUAGUCGGAUUCAUUUCUGCUGCACCAUGAGGGGAACUCCUAACCAAGUAUUUUUAAAGCAUACAGUUAAAGUUGCCUGAAUUGCUGACUGAUUUGAGAAAACUAUCACUUGAUGUUUUUUCAGUUGUGAGUCUUUAAAUUUGUGUCUGAUUCACAGACUAGGAUAUUUCAAAUAGGGGAAUAUUUUGUAGUGAAUGAAAGUGGCCUUCACAUUAUCUGUGUCCAGAUACACUGUAUCUAAGUAAUGUUAGUGCCUAAAAGAAGUAUUUAAAAGACAAAGGAUUAUGAAUUGGGUGAAAUCAGUUUCACCUCUCCUCUUGUUUAGAUGCUGGCUCGAGCUAAGACUGAAAAAGAAUUUUUAGAUGACUGAAGAAAUUUUUAUAUGGACUGCUAUUUUAUACGGUAUUGAGGAAUUUUUUUAUAUUGUCAGGUGUUGAAUGGCAUUGUAGGUUUUUUUUUUUUUAAAUCUUCAUCAGUUAGACAUGAAUACUGAAAUUGUUAUGGGUGAAAUGACAAGAUAUCUGAGAUUUAUUUUAAAAUGCUCCAGAAAACAAAAAGUACAUUGGGGAUACGGUGAAACCAGAGUAACACAAUUUUUACCAGGGGGGAAGGAAGACUACAUGGAGGUGUGUUAUACUAUUCACUUUUUUAAUAACCUUAAAAGUUUUUUACUCUGUUACCUUUUUCCCCUUCUUAUCUGUAAUUUAUAAGAUGGUUAUUUUGACAUUGGAGGUUUGACCACCUUAGAUAAUUAGUAUUGAAUGAAAAAGAGGUGACAUGGAUGAGCUUAUCAAACUCAGGAAGCUGAUAAUUAUCUCUUAAAACCCAUGUAUUGCUCUAAAAAUUAUGCAUGCAGUGUUAGCAUGCAUAUUAAGAAAAUUUUCCUUUUAUAAUAAGGUUCCCUCACCAUCCUUUCAGAUAGGAAAAGGGUAUGAAUAUUAGUUGCUCUGUUUUGAAAUCUUUUCAGUGUUGUAGUCAUAAAGGCCCAGAUUUGAGAGUUGAAUGGAUCAGAGAAUUUACCUGGUGGUCCCCACUUCCCAUCUUUGCAAGGAGGACAGUUUCUCAGGAAGGCAAAAAGUGUCUUGUUCAAAGUCAGUUCCAGGUGCUUUUUCAGAAGUAGAUUAAAAAAAUUGUAUCUUUAUAUUUUAUAUUUACAGGUUUUUCCAAUAUAAUAUUUAAUUAGAGACACCCCCCCCAAAAAAAAAAGAAGAAGUAGACUAACAAGGAACUACUGUAUAGCCCAGGGAAAUCUACUCAAUAUUCUGUAAUAGCUUACAUGGGAAAAGAAUCUGAAAAAUAAUGAAUAUGUUUAUAUGUAUAACUGAUUUACUCUGCUGUAUACCUGAAACUAAUGCAACUAUACUCAAAGAACAAUUUUUUUUAAGUGGUCCAUAUAUACAAUGGAAUAUUACUCAGCCAUUCAAAAGAAUGAUGUAGUGCCAUUUGCAGCCACAUGGAUGGACCUAAAGAUUGUCAUACUAAGUGAAGUCAGACAGGGAAAGACAAACAUCCUAUAAUAUUGCUUAUAUGUGAAAUCUAAAAAAAGGAUACAAAUGAACUUAUUUGCAGAAUAGACUCACAGACUUUGAAAAAAGCUUAUAGUUACCUAAGGGAACAGGUGCAGGAGGAGGGAUAGACAGGGGGUCUGGAAUUGGCAUAUGCACAUUGUGGUAUAUGGAAUGAGGACCUGCUGUAUAGCACAGAGAACUCUACCUAAUAUUCAAUGCUAAAAUGUAUGGGGAAAGAAUCUGAAAAAGAAUGGAUGUGUGUAUAGAUAUCACUAAAUCACUUUGUUGUACAGCAGAAAUUAUCACAACAUUGUAAAUCAACUAUACAUCAAUACAACUUAAAAAGAAUUUUUUUUUUUUAAAGACCGGAACCCUUGGAAACCAAGUACCCUUUUUGACUCUUAUCAUACUGCCUCAAUCUUGUCCUUUAAAAUACUCAUUAACAAUCUCCUCUCUGGGGAUCAAAGCAGUUUUCUAAAUCCAGACCAGUGACUGCGUGUCAGAUGUUCAUUGCGGGUAGUGUGGCCCCAAAUUAUCUUUUCUUUUCUUGAACACCAUUUCCAAGCUGUGUGAUAAGUCCCAGAAGUGAGCAUGUUUAAUUCUGUUCUUGUAAAUGCUCUGCAGCAGGUUUGCAGCCUGUUCCUCCUUCUCUGGCUUCUGUAGACUUUCCAUCAGGGAUGGGUCAAUAUGCUCAAAUGACAGUCCAGGCUGACAGGAAGGUACACUUGGCCAAGCAAUUCCACAAAGACCAUCAGCCUCUGCCACAAAGCCUCUCCCAAGGCCUUUUGUCAUUCAAGCAGAAAUUCCAAACAUCACAGUUGAAAUAGGCAUGUUUUUUUCUACAUGGAUCCUGUUUAGCAUUUGUGGCCAAAAUGUUUGAAGCACAAAUUUUCUUGCUAAAUGUUAUCUUCUUUGCGUUGUACUUAAUAGUAGCUCAUUGGAAUAAAGUAAGGGAAUGGAUUGGCAUUUAUAAAAUAAUUUUUACCCAGUCUUUUCAAGAGUUUUACAAAGAGCAAUGCUCUGAUUCCUAAAAACAUAAUUAUACAAAUAGAUAGGCAAACAGAACUAGAGACAGAAGGACUUUGCCAUGCUGGCAUGAUCAGUGAGGAACCAGCCACAGGACUUGUGGAUUCAUUCAGGAAUUGCCCUGACUUACUGACCUCCUCAGGGGUUGAAGGCAAUGGGAGACAUAGAAAGAAAAGAUUGAAUGGCUCUCACUCCUCCCACCUCCUUUUUUGGAGGAGGCAGGGAUACAGAAACAGAACAGUAUACAACUGCAUAAUCAAAGUGCUUUGGAUACAAGUGCUAAGGAACCAGAUGACAUAGAACUGCCCCCCGCCC